AUGCGAUACUUGGUGUGAAUUGCAGAAUCUCGUGAACCAUUGAGUCUUUGAACGCAAGUUGUACCCGAGGCCUUGUGGUCGAGGGCACGCCUGCUUGGGCGUCAUGA
rnacentral:rRNA from 1 species